rnacentral:lncRNA from 1 species
GGAGCCUACCAGUGUCACAUAAACCUCCUAUCCUCCAAGAUCUCCAAGUGCUACUUGGUUCAUCCCACGGGCGAUCCAGUCCAGGUUCCGUAAAAAGGAGACUAAAUGCAGAGAGAACACCCUACAGCUCUCAAAGACCGAAGACAAAAUUGUAAGGACCUGUUUAGCCAGAGGCUUCUAUCCACGUUAAACAAUAACCUUGUUGUUUAACCUUUAAACUGUCCCUGCUCUCCUUCCUCCAGGGUCCUGGAAACCAGCCCCAGGUAACAAAGCCCAGAUACAGGGGUGGGUCAGGCCAGGUGGACACAUCCGAUCAGUGGGGGGUUGCAUACUGUCUCCCUAGCUACCAAGGAGUAUGGGCCCUGCCCUUUGGGAGCCUUUUGGGUGCCAAUUCUGGCUAGGUCAAAUGUCUACUAUAGGGUAAAUUGUGAUUCAGUUGGUCAUCUAGCAUCACUGUGCC